rnacentral:rRNA from 1 species
UACGUAGGGGGCAAGCGUUGUCCGGAUUCAUUGGGCGUAAAGAGCGUGUAGGCGGCCAGGUAGGUCGGUUGUGAAAACUGGAGGCUCAACCUUCAGAGGUCGAACCGAAACCAUCUGGCUAGAGUCCGGGAGAGGAGAGUGGAAUUCCUGGUGUAGCGGUGAAAUGCGCAGAUAUCAGGAAGAACACCCGUGGCGAAAGCGGCUCUCUGGAACGGUACUGACGCUGAGACGCGAAAGCGUGGGGAGCAAACAGG